rnacentral:rRNA from 1 species
GGCUCGAGGACGAACGCUGGCGGCGUGCCUAACACAUGCAGUCGAGCGAGGAGAUCCUCGGGAUGAUCCUAGCGGCGGACGGGUGAGUAACACGUGGGCAACCUGCCUCAUAGAGAGGAAUAGCCUUCCGAAAGGGAGAUUAAUACCUCAUAACAUUGCAGUUUCGCAUGGAACAGCAAUUAAAGGAGUAAUCCGCUAUGAGAUGGGCCCGCGGCGCAUUAGCUAGUUGGUGAGGUAAUGGCUCACCAAGGCGACGAUGCGUAGCCGACCUGAGAGGGUGAUCGGCCACAUUGGGACUGAGACACGGCCCAGACUCCUACGGGAGGCAGCAGUGGGGAAUAUUGCACAAUGGGGGAAACCCUGAUGCAGCAACGCCGCGUGAGUGAUGACGGCCUUCGGGUUGUAAAGCUCUGUCUUCAGGGACGAUAAUGACGGUACCUGAGGAGGAAGCCACGGCUAACUACGUGCCAGCCGCUGC